ACGAUCGUUUCCGCCCACCAACUACGCCGGAGACGACCCCACCGGCCUCGCCGGGAGGGCGUGGCGGAGGAGAACGCAAUCGCCUGCUUAGUUGCCUGUCGAGACACCCGUGGAUGUCCUGGGCUAAUCAGCGCAGAAGGCGCCACCAACACGGCCUGACCCUCCACGCUCCGUCGCUCCGCACUCGCGGACUUGCAGCACCGGACUGCCGGUGCCGUGGACGGUGGCUGAACUGAAGCAACUCCGCUCGGAGCCUCCGACGCCUGGCGAAAACGCGACCGGAGAGCCCCUGCACCAGGACGUCUGGCUUCCUACUGAAGCACGCCGCGGUGUGAAAAGAGUAAAUCCUAUUUUCCAACCUUCAACGAUCAUGCUAGUCCGAUUCAGUCCUAAACUCAGCGGCGGAGGAAGGAUUUAAAUUGAGUUGUGACGAGUAUCGAAAUAGCUAAUAUAGGUAGCAUAUAAUUUAAAAGUAAAGUGAUUUCUAUACAAAUGCAAAAUUAUUAAAUUCUAUUCAUCAAGUACAAAACAUAUAAGAACUACAUAUAUAUAUAUAUAUAUAUGGAAGAAAUCGAAUAUUAAGAUAAAAUAUUGAAAAAAGAUGCGAAUGAAUUCAAUGAACAAACCGAGUGCUGAAGCUUCAGUUACGAGACCUAGGUAAUUGCAUUUUCCUAUCUUUCUACUUUUGAACUGCAUUCUUAAUUUUCUCAAGAUCAAUUCCUUUGAAUCUCUGUCUCAAUGUACUAGUGUUAAUCGUGUGUUUUAAUAAAUGUAUUGCCGGCCUGUGCACAUACAGUCAAGCCCACAAGCUAGAAGAGAUCAAGAGUUCAAGACCCCAAGUAUGUUCAGAUAGAAGCAUUCAGCCUUCAAUGAGGCUUCUUCAGAGUAUUCAAAGCAGCAGUUUAGAGUAAAAGAAAUCAAUCUACUAGAAGCGCUAAUGGGCAGGAAGUAAUUUAGGAGAGAGUGGCUCAGAAAUUGAGAUAUGGCAAGAGCCAUACCUUGCCAUAUGGGUGGCUCCGCCCAUGCCUAAACUACGAAGGCAAACACAUUCCCUUAUCAUAGAAACUAUGUAAAACGUAUAACCUCAUAGCAAUUUUUCUUGAUUUCAUCACACAUGCCGCUUGCGUAGAGCGGUUUUGAUACAAAAAUCUAUUAUUUGUACAAAAAUCUUUUGAGAAUUUAUUCAGAGUUAUCCUAAGUAAAAGAUUUUUACAUUUGACAACCAAUAUUUGUAAUAGUAAGAUUACAAGCUAGUAGUAGUCUCUCUACCAAGCUCACUUACAAAGAAAUGCAGAACACAUCAACUCAUGGGAAGGUAACAGCGAAGGUGAGUGUAUUCCAAUAUAUCCCAGUCUCCGUAUCCAUUUGAUGCGAGAAUAAAUAGUGUCACAUCUCUUGGUUAUUAAGGAGAAAUAUCAGGUAUAAAAUUCUAUUCUCUUCCACAACUUGCAUCUGUGUCUAUAUGGUAAUUUAGCCCUGGAAAGUGAACACCAUACCAGAGGAGGAAAAGUAUGAUUAUCCACAUGGUGGUUUGGACGCUGACAGUAAACAAGGUACUUGGCGUUACUUCCGUCUCACUAACUGCUACAGCUGGCAUAUUUCCAUGUCUUUGGCUUCAGUAGCUUUGCACCUGGUGAUAGGUGAUGUUAGGAUUUGUACAUAGAAAUAUAGAGUAAAUGAAAAGGCAUACAACAAAAUGAUUUGAGAGUAUGGCAUCUUAAAAAGGGACUAUAUAUUGCUAUUCAAUUGUACCGAGUAAUUUCCCAAUUCUUUCUAAAACGAAAGGCAUACAGUGCCAUACUGUUGACACCGUUUUUUGA